UCCGGAGAGCACGUGUUCGCGCAGGCGGGGCGAGGCAGCCCGCCGGCGGGAGGCGCGGGGUCGCCUCGCUGGCUGGCGUGAGGUGGGGCCACUCCGGGUGCCCCCGGAUGUCCCCGGGCUGCCCUGUCGCGCGGCGGACCCGCAGGGCUCUCCGUGCUCCCGGCCUUCCCCGCGGCUGCCUUUCGAGCGAAGCCUGUUCAGCUGAAGAACGGGAAAGGCCCGGGCGUUACGUAAGGGCCUCCCCGCGGGCGAGACCGGGACCUGAAGCGACCGCGGCGACUUCUGUGAUCGCCGGGUCCCCCAGCCCCCACCCCCCCCCGCGUCCCGCCACAGACCUGUCGAGGACGAAGUGCGGAAAUUUCCACUAAUUUCCUCAGUGGAGCGGCUCGUGUCGUUUUUGUGGUUGCUAAACGAAAAGCUGUUUUCCUGCUCUGCAGAGCUGCUUGAGUUGAUCAGUGAGUAGGAUCACUUAAAUGGAGUCACCGGCCUAAUAUCUGCUGAGGAACCAGUGCAUAGAUUCCUUCUUAGAGGUCUUUAUGCCCCCUUCAGAAACCAAGUCCUCUUCAAAGCCAGGACUGUAAACUUGAGCUUCUCACCAGUCCCGGUAGGUGGUCCUUAAAUCGGGCUGGGCUGAAGGUUCUUAAACGAGGAAAAGUGCUUUCCUCUGCUGAUGCCACACAUUUCUGCUUAGCAAGUUCUUAUGCGCAAAGCGCGUGAAAAAUUACUGGUAACGCAGGACAGAUCGAGUUCCGCACGAGACAGCUAAGGGAACACUAGUAAAAGGUCGUGCCGCGCGCGCUCCAGCAUCGCCCCGGAUUCGUUCAGACUAAAAAGUGACUGCAGGGCUACCGUGUUUUGUGCUAGAGUCAGUGAUCCUAAUAUUUGUGGUCGCUACAUCUUUUUUGUUUGUUUGCUAAAUGUUCUAUAGUUGGGCCGGGGAUUUAGCUCAGUGGUUCCGCCGCCUGCCUCACAAGCGCAAGAUCCCGAGUUCAAUCCCCGGUACCAAAAAAAAAAUUUUUUAAUUAAAUAUUGCAUAGUAAUGGAUCCGCACAAGGUCUUCGUGGGGUCUAAAGUACGGUAUGUCAAGUAAAAUAAAGCAACAAGAUAACGGAGGCCAAGCAUUUAGAGCAGUUUAUAUACUCGGAAGCUUGGCAAAUGGGAAGUUUCAAACGUCAAGUGUUGACUGUCUUCUGCUUUGACGCCUGUGUCAUAGUACUCAGGCCAGACGUGGGAGUACACUGAAGCUGAAGCAGGAGGGUCACAGUGAGUUCGAGACAAGCCUGGGCUACGUAGCAAGACUCUGUCUCCAAAAAGCCCCAAAAUAAUAAUGCUCAGAUCACACUAUGGGAUAAGUAGUUAUUCCCAUUGUGCAGAUGCAGAUUCUCUGGCUUACUUAGGUAGGUGCUGCAGCUGAGACUAAAACGCAGGUCACCUGACACACUGCCGGAUUCUUUCCUGAGUAGCCCAGCUACUGUAGUAAAAAUGUGAUAAAUGCAAGGAGUGCUACCAAGCCAAAGGAGGAGGGAACCCAACCAAUAGAUUGUGAGAGGUUCCUCAGGCUGAGCUUUCACCAUGAUUCUCAGCAAGCAGAGUACCUGAAGGUUUCCUUGUAGAUUUCCUGAGCAGACCACGCCCUGCCCUUAGGGAAGUAGAGCCAUGGAUGGAAAUAACCAGGGUUCAGGCAGACAUUCCUGGAAAAGUCAGGUUGGUGCUUCCCUGGGAAAGGCACACCUCUGUAGUCCCAGCUACUUGAGAGGCUGAGGCAGGAGGAUCACUUGGCAAGAGGCCACUGCUGCCAUCCUCACUUUGACCCCAAAGUGUUUAGGACCAGCCUGGAGUACACAGCAAGAACCAGUCUCCUAAUAAAAUAAAAGAUAUACAAGGUGUUAGCUCAGUGGUAGAGCACUUGCAUAGCAUGCCCUAGGCCUUGGAUUUGAACCUCAGCAGUAGGAAAAAAUUUAAAUUUCUGUAUAUGUAUCUAUAUUAAGUACAUAUCCAUAAAUACAUAUAUAAGCCAGACUUGGUGGCACGCACCUGUGUGCCCAGCACUCUAGGAAAUUGAGGCAUGAUUGCAAGUUUAACCCCCGCCUUGGUAACUUGGUGAAUCGUGGUAGCAAGAACUUCUCUUGAAACAAAAGGGGUGGGGAUAUAGCUCAGUGGAGAAGCCUUAACUGUACACACACAGUAUAUAUGGUUAAAAACAAAGCUGGGGGACUUUGUAAUUUGGAUGAAUUCUCCCUUUGAGGAUAACUAGAAAGGUUGGACAAAGCAUUUCUGCAUUUGCUCAAAGUCCCAAGAGAGUGAAGGAAAUGUUGCCGCCGUCCCCGCUGGAGCCCACAGACCUGCUGAGCUGGGGAGCAAAGUCCUGUGUUGUGCGACAGACCCUUUGUCCCCAGGGCUGGGCACCAGGCACAAAGAUACUCUGAGACGCCCAAGGUUGAGCAGUUCCUCUCACAGCCUCAGAGCUAAGAGAAAAAAAAAUCAAUGUCCAAGACUCCUCAGUGCAGCGAGGAGCCCCAGUGAACCCCUCUUUUGUGUAGAGCCCUGAAGGGCUAUAUCCCUGAAGCAGCCACCCCUUAAACAUAGCCUACUUUUCCCAAAAGCGGACCUGGAGACUAGCCUCUGGCUGUGAAUAGUCUGUCUAGAAAACGAUGCAGGGAGCUGGGCGUGGUGGUGCACACCUGUCAUCCCAUCACCAGAGGCCGAUGCAGGAGGAUCACAGUGAAUUCAAGGCCAGCCUGGACUACAGAGUGAGACCCUGACUCAAAACAACAGAAAGAAGAGAGAGAGAGAUGAAGAUAGCAGGAAGCACCACAUGGAAGUUAAGAAAGAAAUACAGGGAAUGGAGAAAACCCAAGAGCAGAUGUCUGUUUCUUGAUUGCAUCUCCUGUGACCUCCCCAUCGGUGUUCUCAGCUUUCUCUGUGUGAAGACGUGCUGUCCUCCUUCCUGGGUCUCCUGGUCCCUUCAGCAUGGCUGUGAGGUGCGACCCGACACAAAGAGGAAACAGCAUCGCCACUGCUUGUCAGGAUUGGCAAUAAACACUAGCUGUAACAUGGUGCACUUUUCUCCAGGAGCUGCUUGCAGUGAAUGACCUCAUAGUGAUCUGUAAAAUUGUAUAUUUUUGUCUAAUGAAGUAGUCAUUAAAAAUUCAAAGCCUCAAAUUCACAGCAA